GCCAACCACGUCCCUCCUUUCAGUUCGUCCAGGCUCGGUCACUGCACAUCUGUUAUUCAGUUCACUCACAGACAGCAAACCAAGGGGUUGUGCUGUCUCCUUGUCUCCCAGGGAUAAACCCACAUGACAGUUUACAAAAACAGGUAAUCAUAAGAAGCAAAUGGCCCAGAUGAAACACAGCAAAAGAAUGAGAAGUGGUAACACUGGGAGUGAAAUUUGAACCAAGCGUAAAUGGAGUGAUCGUAGAAAUAGCUGACUGUGGAAUGUGGACACUCUCUGUAUCUGCAGCCUGGGAAGCUUAAAGAAGGUGAACUUACUGACACCAGUUAGAAAGUGACUGUGAUGAAACGAUGAAGAUGCUCCAGAGGAAGUGACACCAGCAAUAGGAAAAAAAAAACAAACCUCUCACUGAAGGAACUCUCGGAGAUAUUUCAUGACACAGAAGGCACAAAGGAUACAAUAUUGGCAACUAAUCGAAACUUAGAAAUGAUAUGACAGCUCACCAAGGCAUAGAAAAAGAUGCUUGCUCUAUCAUAAGUUAUAGAAUGAGAAGAAGCAGUAUAUCAGAAAACUCAAAUAUAACUCCACAACUUUUUCAAGAGUUUCUUUUUGUUUUCCAAUGGUAACGGGAGAGAAAAUAAGCUGUCAUUAUCGGAAUGAUCAAACACAGAGAGAAAAGAGGCAGAGGUGAGAAGAUGGAGAAGAUGAAUACAUUUGCUUUCAGCAAACCAAUGGAAGUCCAUUUGCAUGAUCUGAAAAGGAAAAUGAGAAGCUAAUUUUUCUAUACAAGGCAGAAUUUAAGAAAUACAAUUCCUAAGGACUCCAGUGGAUACAGCUCUGGUUCCUGGACUUCGUGUUUUGGCUUGGUCUUUCUGCUUUUUCAAUUUUGUCACUGGUGUGAUCCAGAGAACAUGCCUUUCACUGUGAAAACCAGCACCUUCAAGGCCAGGCGCAGUGGCUUGCGCCUAUAAUCCCAGCAUAUUGGGAGGCCGAGGUGGGUGGAUCACCUGAGGUCAGGAGUUCAAGACCAACCUGACCAACAUGGUCUACUAAAAAUACAAAAAUUAGCCCGGCAUGGUGGCGGGCGCCUAUAAUCCCAGGUACUCGGGAGGCUGAGACAUGAGAAUAGCUUGAACCAGGGAGGCGGAGGUUGCAGUGAGACGAGAUCACACCAUUGCACUCCAGCCUGGGCAACAGAGCAAGACUCCAUCUCAAAAACAAACAAACAAACAAACAAAAACACCACACAAAACCAGCACCUUCCACAGUGUCUAGCAUACGUUAGUCACCAAAACAGGUUUGCUAAAUGAACAAAUGAAUGAAUGGCAUUUUAUGUGUCAGUAAAUAUGCUUCAAAAUCAUGAUGUAUGAUGAGUAAGCAACUCUAUCAAAUAAAUAUAACGUAAUUUGCUGUGAGCACAUAAUUUGCUGUGUUCUAGUAUUGAACAGUUGGACUAUUUCCAUAUUUUAAUUUUUACUAUUAUGUUUGAGGAUGAUAUAUAAAUCUU
rnacentral:lncRNA from 1 species